GGGCUGCAGUGCUGCCGAGAUUCGUGCGUAUGUGCAGAGCCCUGGCGCGGGUCGCCGCUCCGGACCCUCCCGUGGAGCACGGCUGCGUCCCCGUGCUAGCCUACCCCGCGGGGCGCAGAACAGAGGCACCCUGUUUUUCCGGGACGCGUCUGUGGCUUGCGGGAGGCGGCGGCAUGGACAGAUUCCUUGUGAGACCGGACCGAGGCGACAUCCAAGGGGCCGCGGAGGAGCCCGCCCCUACGGGAGAAGCCUCAGGCGACAUGCAGAGCCCCGGCUGGCAACACUUUCGCGCGGAAGGUCUGAACUGCGAUUAACCAAGUCUGCAGGGUGACAGGACAGACCUUCAACUUUGUGCUCGUGAACAGGUACAAAGACGGCUGUGACCACAUUGGGGAGCACAGAGACGAUGAACGAGAACUGGCCCCGGGGAGCCCCAUCGCGUCCGUCUCCUUCGGUGCCUGCAGAGACAUCCUCUUCCGGCACAAAGACUCUCGGGGGAAGAGGCCCCGGAGGGCAGUGGAGGUGGUCAGGCUGCAGCUGGCCCAUGGAAGCCUGCUGAUGAUGAACCACCCCACCAACACCCACUGGUACCACAGUCUCCCCAUCCGCAAGAGGGUCCUGGCUCCUCGGAUCAACUUGACUUUUAGGAAAAUUUUACCUACUAAGAAAUAAAACAUGUCUUUAUUAUUUU
rnacentral:lncRNA from 1 species